rnacentral:lncRNA from 1 species
AACGUGCGAAUAGCAACGAGGAAUUCUACACUGUCACACUUACACCACGUCAUCACUAACAAGUCAAUCACAUUCCUUUUUUUCAAAUAAAAGAACAAUAAAAAUAUUUUUUUACAAUCAUGAUGGAACAUAUACCUCUAAAAAAAGACAUUUGAUUGAUUUGUUACGCCACGUUACUAAUAUAUCUGUUGCAUUCUAGAAUUUUUCAAUAGCAACACCCCGGCACCCACCAGUAACUUCACCGCCACUAAUUCCAUCGCCUUUUAAAAAAAAAAAUAGAGGGAUAUUUUUAAUUUUGUUUGAUUUUUCUUUCAAAAUUAAUUUUAUAAUCGUGUUAAGUUAUAUUGUUUUUGAGUUAGAUAGACAGAUAGAUAGAUAGAUUAAUUUUUUAAUUUUUUAAUUUAUUUUAAUAUAUUACAUUAAGAUUCGUGUAUGAAAUUAU